GAUGAACGCUGGCGGCGUGCCUAAUACAUGCAAGUCGAGCGAACAGACGAGGAGCUUGCUCCUCUGACGUUAGCGGCGGACGGGUGAGUAACACGUGGAUAACCUACCUAUAAGACUGGGAUAACUUCGGGAAACCGGAGCUAAUACCGGAUAAUAUAUUGAACCGCAUGGUUCAAUAGUGAAAGACGGUUUUGCUGUCACUUAUAGAUGGAUCCGCGCCGCAUUAGCUAGUUGGUAAGGUAACGGCUUACCAAGGCAACGAUGCGUAGCCGACCUGAGAGGGUGAUCGGCCACACUGGAACUGAGACGCGGUCCAGACUCCUACGGGAGGCAGCAGUAGGGAAUCUUCCGCAAUGGGCGAAAGCCUGACGGAGCAACGCCGCGUGAGUGAUGAAGGUCUUCGGAUCGUAAAACCCUGUUAUUAGGGAAGAACAAAUGUGUAAGUAACUAUGCACGUCUUGACGGUACCUAAUCAGAAAGCCACGGCUAACUACGUG
rnacentral:rRNA from 1 species